GUAGGUGGCAAGCGUUGUCCGGGAAUUAUUGGGGCGUAAAGCGCGCGCAGGCGGUUCUUUAAGUCUGAUGUGAAAGCCCACGGGCUCAACCGUGGGAGGGUCAUUGGAAACUGGAGAACUUGAGUACAGAAGAGGAAAGCGGAAUUCCACGUGUAGCGGUGAAAUGCGUAGAGAUGUGGAGGAACACCAGUGGCGAAGGCGGCUUUCUGGUCUGUAACUGACGCUGAGGCGCGAAAGCGUGGGGAGCAAACAGGAUUAGAUACCCUGGUAGUCCACGCCGUAAACGAUGAGUGCUAAGUGUUACGGGGGUCUCCGCCCCUUAGUGCUGCAGCUAACGCAUUAAGCACUCCGCCUGGGGAGUACGGCCGCAAAGGCUGA
rnacentral:rRNA from 1 species